rnacentral:rRNA from 1 species
GGAAUAUUGGUCAAUGGCCGAGAGGCUGAACCAGCCAAGUAGCGUGCAGGAUGACGGCCCUAUGGGUUGUAAACUGCUUUUAUGCGGGGAUAAAGUGCGCCACGUGUGGCGUUUUGUAGGUACCGCAUGAAUAAGGACCGGCUAAUUCCGUGCCAGCAGCCGCGGUAAUACGGAAGGUCCGGGCGUUAUCCGGAUUUAUUGGGUUUAAAGGGAGCGCAGGCUGAUGAUUAAGCGUGACGUGAAAUGUAGCCGCUCAACGGCUGAACUGCGUCGCGAACUGGUAGUCUUGAGUGAGUUCGAUGUUGGCGGAAUUCGUGGUGUAGCGGUGAAAUGCUUAGAUAUCACGAAGAACUCCGAUUGCGAAGGCAGCUGACGAGUCCUUUACUGACGCUAAAGCUCGAAGGUGCGGGUAUCGAACA